AGACGGGGUGGUUCCCUAGUUACGGGACCCAUAUGUUCCCAGCAGCUCCUGGCCCCUGUCCAUCAGUGCGAGCUGAAUCGGUAGGGCGGGGCUGGAUAGCAAGGUCUCCCAUCGCUCAAGGGGUUGGGGAUUGGGGGGCACACGCGGUUCAUCAGUACCGGAUGCGCAAGCCUGCGCUCGACGCAGGAUCGUCUGUUGACUGAUGCAAGAAUGGGACCACAGCAGAACCAGUCAAAUGACCUGGCUGCACAGUCCUCUAGUGAAUGGCCGGACUUAUGAAAUUCAUGGAAGGACAUACAUCCUCAAAUGCCCAUACAAGACCGUCAGUGAUUAAUCCACAUUUUAUGAUUGACCUAACUAUACUAACUUACUACUGCAGCAUUAAACAACAAAGUUUUCUC